rnacentral:rRNA from 1 species
UACGUAGGGGUGCGAGCGUUGUCCGGAAUUAUUGGGCGUAAAGAGCUCGUAGGCGGUCUGUCGCGUCGGCUGUGAAAACCCGGGGCUCAACCCCGGGCCUGCAGUCGAUACGGGCAGACUAGAGUGCGGUAGGGGAGACUGGAAUUCCUGGUGUAGCGGUGAAAUGCGCAGAUAUCAGGAGGAACACCGGUGGCGAAGGCGGGUCUCUGGGCCGAUACUGACGCUGAGGAGCGAAAGCGUGGGGAGCGAACAGG